rnacentral:rRNA from 1 species
UACGGGGGGGGCAAGCGUUGUUCGGAAUUACUGGGCGUAAAGGGCUCGUAGGCGGCCAACUAGUCAGACGUGAAAUCCCUCGGCUUAACCGGGGAACUGCCUCUGAUACUGGGGAUCUUGAGUCCGGGAGAGGUGAGUGGAACUGCGAGUGUAGAGGUGAAAUUCGUAGAUAUUCGCAAGAACACCAGUGGCGAAGGCGGCUCACUGGCCCGGUACUGGACGCUGAGGUGCGAAAGCGUGGG